CCUGCCUCAGCCUCCCGAGUAGCUGGGAUUACAGGCAUAGGCCACCACACCCAGUUAAUUUUUAUAUUUUUAGUAGAGACGGGGUUUCACCACGUUGGCCAGGCUGGUCUCGAACUCCUGACCUUAGGUAAUCCACCCACCUCGGCCUCCCAAAAUGCUGGGAUUACAGGCAUGAGCCACCGCCCCUGGUAUUCUCAAUUUUUUUAAAUAAGAGAUUUAUAUUGCUUGACAUUUUGCAUAUAAAGUGAGACUCUUUUAAAAAUAUACAUCAUGCUAUUUCAACAAGCUGGUGCUCCCGGGGAUGUCCAUGGGCUGUCCAACUGCCCCCGGGGCACCAGCUUCUGUUUUUUAUGCUGACUUUGGGCACUGAACUCUCCUUGGCUCCCAGAGGUCCUGACCAGGCUGGUCCUGCCAUCCACAGCGGUGCCUCUGCUAGCGACAUCCCUGCCCAAUUUUCCAUGUCCAGCUUUGACACCUCCACAGAAAGGCUGAGCCACCACCGGGCCCCCAUUGUGGCUGAGCAUCCACUCUCUCUUCCCCAUGUGCUCCUUGCCCCCGACUCCCCAUCUCUGGAACCCAAGUUUGGGCUGCAUGGACCACCUUCUGGGCCAGGCUGUUAGGAGGCCACCACCAAGCAGCAAACGCAGGAGCAGCCGUGCCCUGAGGAGGCACCACCAGCAGCCUCCAGCAGCACUCGGAAAGUGCACAAUCUUUUGAGGCCUCACACAGAUGGUGGUGUGAAAGGGUCAAGGCUGUGGAGGCCUGCUAGAGGGCCGAGUUCCAUUUCCCCUUAGAGUGAGUGCAGGGUCAGCCUCUCAGGGCUCGGGGGCUUCAGUGGCCCUGCCUCGGAGAGCUCCAGCCAAUGGCCAUGUCACGCGUGAGGCAGCUGAGGGGCCAGGGCAGCAGAGCAAGGUCUGUUGCCAGGAACUGACUGCCCUGCCUCCCAGCAGCAGGUCAGAGGUGGGGCAUCUGGGACAGGUGGCCACAGCAGCCUGGAGACAUCGCAGAAGGAGACCUUCCGUAGAACACCAGGAGCCCAGCAGUGAGGGGCUACAGGACCAGGACCCAGGGUGAACCAGGACCCAGGGUGACCCAGGACCCAGGGUGAACCAGGACCCAGGGUGAACCAGGAGGGUGAAAGGCCAGGUACUGCCCAGCUAAGGGCUGCAGCAGGCACCGCCUGCUAGGAGAGUCGCAAAGGACAUCCACACAAGUGACCACAAGCUCAAAGUCAACUUGAAACAUGGGCCACAGAUCGCCUGAAGCCAGCUUACCCCCUUGGGACACAGAACAGCCCCCAAAGACGUCCAUGACCUAAUCCCCAGAACCUGCGCAUAUGUUACCUGACACGGCAAGAGGGACUUCGCAUAUGCGACUGAGUUAAGGACUUUGAAAUGAGGCGAUUAUCCUGGAUUACCCAGGUGGGCCCCAGGCAAUCACAGCAAUCCUAAUGGGGGAAGACAGGAGGCUCAGGGUUGGGAGGAGACCGCGAUGGAAGUAGGGAAGCAGGUGGGGGCAGGAGGCACUGGACAGUGCCACGCUACCGCCCUGAAGAUGGAAGAGGGAAGGGAAUCUCCUCUAGAGCCUCCACAGAGGACACCAUGCUGCUGACCCCUUGAUUUUAGGCUUCUGAUUGCGGGACUGUAAGAACACAUUAACGUGUCUUCAGCCACUGAGUUUUUGGGUCAUUUCUCAUAGCACCAAUGGGAAGCCAACAUCUCACCCCACUGGGCAAGUGAAAACUUCCCGUGCCCUAUCCCUCCUUCCGAGCCGGAAGGGGGUCACAAAUCAGGCGGUCAGACACCAAAAAUAAAAAUAUAGGUGGCCAGGUACAGUGGCUCACGCCUGUAAUCCCAGCACUUUGGGAGGCCGAGGCGAGCAGAUCACAAUGUCAGGAGUUCGAAACCAGCCUGGCCAACAUGGUGAAACCCUGUCUCUACUAAAAAACAAAAAUUAGCCAGGGGCGGUGAUGCACUCCUGUAAUCCCAGCUACUCAGGAGGCUGAAAAAGGAGAAUUGCUUGAACCCGGGAGGCAGAGUUUGCAGUGGGCCAAAAUCACGCCACUGCACUCCAGCCUGAGUGACAGAGCCAGACUCCAACUCAAAAAAAAAAAAAAAAAAAAUAGAGGAUAGUGGCCAGGUGCAGUGGCUCCCAAUGCUUUGGGAGACCAAGGCAGGAGGAUUGCUUUAGUCCAGAAGUUCAAGACCAGUCUGGAGAACAUAUUGAGACCUUGUAUCUUAGACAAAAAUUAGCCUGGCAUGGUGGUGCAUGAAUUUUAAAUUCAUGAAUAGCCUGUGGCCCCAGCUACUUGGGAGGCUAAGAUAGGAGGAUCACUUGAGCCUACGAGGUCAAGGCUGCAGUGAGCUAUGAUCGUACCACUGUACUCCAGCCUCGGCAACAGAGUGAGAUCCUGUCAAAAAAAAAAAAAAAAAAGCCCAGCUAAGUUUGAGUUUCAAAUACUUUUUUUUUAGUAGAAAAAGACCCCAAUAUUGCAUGAGAUGUAAUUAUACUAAAAAAGUGUUCACUCUUUAUCUGAAAUGCAAACUUAGCUUGGCAUCCUGUUAUCUGGCAAUCCUCAUCAAAAACAGCAGCUACAUGGAAGGAGGGUAGCAGGGAAGAGAAAAACCACAGUCCCUGCUGCCCCAGUAGGCUCUUGGGGGCAUGGGGGAAAGCUAAUGGUAAGUCAGCAUCCACAUUUUACUACCUGGGACCGAACAUUUUAAAUUCAUGAAUAGAGACUGCUUUUGAUCUAAAGUGGUACCAGGAACUAAUUCCCUAGGAAUAGUCAAAAAAAAAAAAAAAAAAUCACGGGAAAGGUCUGGGCUUUUCAUAGCGUAGAAAGAAGGGACAAGAGGGCAGCCCUCUUCCCGCGUUCCCACUGAGCAGGUUUGAGGGGCAGCAGGAAACAAGGCUGACUGCAUUGUGGCACCCCUCCAGGCUGCCUUGGACGAGUUAAGAUGGGAUCCGUCAGCUUGGUCCCUAACCCCAGGUAAAGAUGGAACAGAUGCUGGCUGUGACCAGGAGUCCUGAAUUUGCCUUGCACCAUUUCCCUCCACCGGACUGGGAGCCACUGCGGGGCAGGAAGCUGCCUUUUCCAUUUCCCAAGACCGGAAUCAAUCACAGCGGCUCAUCGCAUCAUGCAUCCUCUGCAAUGGUUCCUUCCUUUCCAGGGAGGUUGGUCACGGCCAAUGCUGUCCUGUGUCCACCAGGUGGCGCUCGCGAUCACCGCAAAACACAUGGCUACCGUGAUGGUUUUUAAAUAAGAAAUCUUACAAUGGUUUUAGACAUAAAGGACUGUUGAGAAUAUGAUAGAGAGUUCGUGUGCGACCCGCACCCUGUUCCACUGCGCCUUAACAUCUGACAUGACUCUGGUCCAUCUGUCACCAUGAAGGAGCCAAUUCAUAUAUGAGUAAGUCACCUGCAUUUUAUUCACUCUUCCUUCGUGUUUGCCUAAUGUCCUUUUCUACCCCAGGUCCCACGAGACAUUUAGCCAUCAGGUGUCCCCAGGCUGCUCCUGGCUCUCGCGGUUGCUCAGACUCUUUGUUUCUGAUGCUCUUGACAAUUUGAGGAGUCCUGGUCAGGGAUUCAGUCAAGUGUCCCCCACUAUUGUGAUUUAGCUGAUGGUCUCCUCGUGAUUGGACGGGGGUAUGGGUCUGGGAGACAGACCCCAGAGGUGAAGUGGCCCUUCUCGUCACAUCGUUUCAAGGGCCAGAACUAUCAGUGUGGCUCACGGCCGUCGAUGUCGCCCUUGAGUACCUGGCUGAGGUGGCACCUGUCCGCCUCUCCUGCUAUGAGGCUGCCCUUCCACUCCCCUUCUAUUCUGUACUCUUGGAUCAUUUUUUGGCUUUUGGAAACCAUUUCCUGAACGCUUGGCCAUUGGAGCACUGAGUUCGGUUAGGACAGUGGAGGUAGGGGUGAGAAUUGGGGGACAGGGUGCUGGUCACAUGGUGUGAGAACAAAGUGGAAACUUACAACCAGGGGGAAGGGCCCAGCGGUUUUCAAAGUUAGGGCACCCAAUAGUAACUUAGGGUUCUUGCCUCUUCCCACCUCUGAAUUACCCAGGUAAAACUUAAGUCAGGAUCCUUUCAGAGGUGAUAGGAAAUGUGAUCUGAGAGGCCAAAAUAGAUGCCCCUGUAUCAGCUAAGAUGGACCAUAAGGUUAAGGAAACAAAGUUACCUGUGGUUCCAGUGUUCAAGGUUCAGGGCCCAGCUGGCAUGGGAAAUUAAUUAAUUUUUUU
rnacentral:lncRNA from 10 species